rnacentral:rRNA from 1 species
UGGGGAAUAUUGCACAAUGGGGGAAACCCUGAUGCAGCGACGCCGCGUGAGCGAAGAAAGUUUUCGAAUCGUAAAGCUCUGUCCUAUGAGAAGAUAAUGACGGUAUCAUAGGAGGAAGCCCCGGCUAAAUACGUGCCAGCAGCCGCGGUAAUACGUAUGGGGCGAGCGUUGUCCGGAAUUAUUGGGCGUAAAGGGUACGUAGGCGGUCUAUUAAGUCAGGUGUGAAAGCGUGAGGCUUAACCUCAUUAAGCACUUGAAACUGAUAGACUUGAGUGAAGGAGAGGAAAGUGGAAUUCCUAGUGUAGCGGUGAAAUGCGUAGAUAUUAGGAGGAAUACCGGUGGCGAAGGCGACUUUCUGGACUUUUACUGACGCUCAGGUACGAAAGCGUGGGGAGCAAACAGG